AAUUUCAGCUGAAAAAGUCAUCAACAACAAACUCAUCAAGAUCAACAACUUUUAUUUUGGUCAUUUCUUCAUCCGACAAAGUGAUAGUAACAUUUUCACAAACUUUACAUAUCUCUCUUAUAGUUUAUAAAACCAUAAAAGAAAUAUGUAAAUUUUGUAAACAAUGUUAUUAUUAUUUUGUCGGAUGAAGAAAUGACCAAAAUAAAAGCUAUAGAUCUUGAUGAGUUAUACAACUUUAUUAUUGAUGGCUUUUUGAGCUGAAAUC
rnacentral:pre_miRNA from 3 species